UGAGUAACCUGCCCUUAACUCUGGGAUAAGCCUGGGAAACUGGGUCUAUACCGGAUAUGACUCCUCAUCGCAUGGUGGGGGGUGGAAAGCUUUUUGUGGUUUUGGAUGGACUCGCGGCCUAUCAGCUUGUUGGUGAGGUAAUGGCUCACCAAGGCGACGACGGGUAGCCGGCCUGAGAGGGUGACCGGCCACACUGGGACUGAGACACGGCCCAGACUCCUACGGGAGGCAG
rnacentral:rRNA from 1 species